CCUACGGGUGGCAGCAGUGGGGAAUAUUGCACAAUGGGCGCAAGCCUGAUGCAGCGACGCCGCGUGGGGGAUGACGGCCUUCGGGUUGUAAACCUCUUUCAGCACAGACGAAGCGCAAGUGACGGUAUGUGCAGAAGAAGCACCGGCCAACUACGUGCCAGCAGCCGCGGUAAUACGUAGGGUGCGAGCGUUGUCCGGAAUUACUGGGCGUAAAGAGCUCGUAGGUGGUUUGUCGCGUUGUCCGUGAAAUCUCACAACUCAAUUGUGGGCGUGCGGGCGAUACGGGCAGACUGGAGUACUGCAGGGGAGACUGGAAUUCCUGGUGUAGCGGUGGAAUGCGCAGAUAUCAGGAGGAACACCGGUGGCGAAGGCGGGUCUCUGGGCAGUAACUGACGCUGAGGAGCGAAAGCGUGGGGAGCGAACAGGAUUAGAUACCCUAGUAGUC
rnacentral:rRNA from 1 species